rnacentral:lncRNA from 1 species
CACUAUAGAUCCUUCACAUAAUAUACCCCCACUGCAAAGGGUAGGGCAAAUGACACUUUAAAACCUGCAAAAGAGUGAGCAGAGGGAACGUCUCAUCUUCUAUGCUCAUCAUCCUCAUCCUUAGGAUGCUUCUAACUAGUACAAAGAACUCCAUGGGGUAGGGUGGGGAUGGGGCUGGAAGUGCAUAACUUGUAAGGCCAGAAUGUACACAUAUAUAUAGUAUAUACAUGUAUAUAUAUAUACACACUAUCUAUAUAAACGUGUAUAUAUGUACAUACUAUCUCUCUGUAUAUACAUAGUGUGUGUAUAUAGUAUAAAUAUAGUUUAUAUAUACAUGAAGUUGUGCUCUUUUUCUUUAAUAUUUACUGAAACAUAAAAAUGAUAGACACCUUGUACUAGGAAAAUGAUCAGAUCUCUAUUCACUGCACGUCCUGUGGUUGAGAUGAGCCUAUGGGAAUGAUUUGCAACUUUUGCUAAUUAUUCUUUAUAGAUUUACCACUACUUGGAAGGCUAAGGCUGGAAGAUCACCGAAGUCCAGGAGUUCCAGGCUGCAAUGAGCUAUGAUCAUGCCACUGCACUCCAGCAUGGGUGACAGAGUGAGACCCUGCCGCUGAAAGAGAAAUAAAUAAUAAACAGCAAGAAUUCAGAUAUUUAAUGUGUUGCUGUUCCUUUUCAUGGAAUGUUUUGAAAACUCAAGAAUGCCAAAGUUAUGGGACACACAAGAGAGAUGAGCGCAGAU